rnacentral:lncRNA from 1 species
AAUGCCUAACGCCAGGAGGGAGAGACAAAGGGGCCUCUUCUUUAACACUGAGAAUAGCCCCAGAGUGAAUACAGCCUUCGACAGCUGUGGUUUCAUUCUCAUCACCGCUGGGCAAGUUGGGGGUGCUAAUUGUGAAGCUGGAGAGCUGUUAAAAUCAGACCAGAUUUGUUAAAGGAGAGGAGUAAGAUGAUACUUAAGACCAGUAUCUGCAGUGGCACAGGCAUAAAAGCCCUAUCUCAGGAGAAGGAGUGAAAGGAAGGCAAAAAGGCCGUGAGAAAAUGAAAGAAGCUGGUUGAUUGACCCCUCCUCUGUGUCACCUCAGCAACUUGUCCAUAUCAUUGUUACAGCACUUACCACACAGUUGUAAGAUGGUACUGCAAGCUUACUUUCCAACGUGGCUGCAUCGUUUCACAUUCCCACCAGCAGUAUGAGGUUUCCAAUUUCUCUGCAUCCUCAUCAACACUUGUUAUUAUCUGUCUUUUUUAUUUUAGA